UGCGAGGGUGAUGUAAACAUCUCAACUGGAAGCUGUGACGUCAGUAAGGCUUUCAGUUAGGUGUUCACGUCAGCACGCU
rnacentral:pre_miRNA from 1 species